rnacentral:lncRNA from 1 species
AAAACAAAUCAGAUGACAUUAAAAUGUAUACCAUGCCAAUAGAUCACUGUAUUCAGUGAUCAAUUGGCAGGGAAGGGGUUAAUUUUAUUAAAGCAGGGGAAAGGGGGGGUGGGAUUUAACUUUAUUUUUUUAUUUUUUUACACAGGGAGAAGAGGAUCAGCUCUGAUCCGUCUCCCUGCACUUCAUACAGAACCCGGAAAUGCAGGGAGGCGGAAGGUAAGUACACUAUCACAUGUGCUCGCUCUGACAGCCUGUCAGAGCGAGCACCGGUGCUGGGGCAGCCCGAUCGGGUGCUUCCGGUCUGCCUCUAAUACAGAGGCAGACUGGAAGAACCGUUAACCCCGCGAUCGCAGGCGAUCUGGGGUUAACUUUAGUAAAUGACGGAAAAUUUCCGUCAACGGUCCUUAACUGAAGGACAAGGUUGACUGAAAAUUUCCGUCUGCAGUCGGGAAGGGGUUAAAGGGAGUGCUCCUAAUCUCAGCUAGUUACCUCUGUAAAAGACACCUGUCCACAGAAUCAAUCAAUCAGUUUCUACACUCUCCACUAUGGCCAAGACCAAAGACCUGUCCAAGUAUGUCAGGGACAAGAUUGUAGACCUACACAAGGCUGGAGUGGACUACAAAUGGAAGAAACAUAAAAAAAACUGCCAAUCUCACUUGGUCUGGUGUUCCAUGUAAGAUCUCAUCUUGUGCAGUUUUAAUGAUCAUGAGAACGGUGAGGAAUCAGCCCAGAACUACACGGAAGGAUCUUGUUAAUGAUCUCAAGGCAGCUGUGACCAUAGUUACCAAGUGAAGGACUGAAAUCCUGCAUCGCCCUCAAGGUCCCCCUGCUCAAGUAAGCACAUGGACAGGCCCAUCUGAAGUUUGACAAUGAACAUCUGAAUGAUUCAGAGGAGAACUGGGUUACAAUGUUGUGAUCAGAUGAGACCAAAAUCGAGCUCUUUUGCAUCAACUCAACUCGCCGUGUUUGGAGGAGGAGAAAUGCUGCCUAUGAACCCAAGAGCACCCUCCCCACUGUCAAACAUGGAGGUGGAAACAUUAUGCAUUGGGGGUGUUUUUCUGCUAAGGGGACAGGACAGCUGCACCGCAUCAAAGGGACGAUGGACAGGGCCGUGUACUGGCAAAUCUUUGGUGAGAGGCUCCUUCUAUCAGCCAGGACAUUGAAAAUGGGUCGUGGAUGGGGACCUGGAGUGGCCUAGCCAGUCUCCAGACCUUAAUUCCAUAAAAAAUCUGUGGAGGGAGCUGAAGGUUCGAGUUCCCAAACAUCAGCCUUGAAACCUUAAUGACUUGGAGAGGAUCUGCGUAGAGGAGUGGGACAAAAUUGCUUCUGAGAAGUGUGCAAACCUGGUGGCCAAAUACAAGAAACAUCUGACCUCUGUGAUUGCCAACAAGGGUUUUGCCACUAAAUACGAAGUCGAAGGGAUCAAAUACUUAUUUCACUCAUUGACAUGCAAAUCAAGUUAUAACUUUUUUGACAUGCGUUUUUAUGGAUUUUUCUUUGUGUGUGCUGUCUUUCACUGUUAAAAUACACCUACCAAUAAAAUUAUAGACUGAUCAUUGCUUUGUCAGUUGGCAAACGUUCAAAAUCAGCAGGUGAUCAAAUACUUUUUUCACUCACUGGAUUUGUUCUGGUGAAUAUAAUCAUCCCUUGCAGUCAUUUUCAUGUCAUAGUCUUUUGAUUAAAAUGCCAUUUUAGUCAUUAAUUGUUUUAGUUGACUAAAUCUCCAGUAGGUUUUAGUCGACAUGACUAGAAUCAGUGGGUUCCGUUAAAGACUCUUUUUUUUUUUUUUUUAUCUUUUGCCCUUUCCCCAGCCUCUCUGUGUCUCUUUGUGUCCUCCCAACCCCUCUAGGUGUCUCUCUCCUAAGCCCUCGUAUGUCUCUUUUGCCCUUCAACAGCCCCUCUGUGCAGUGUUAAUUUUGGCAGCAAAUUUCAAUUUAGUUUUGGCCAUAUUUCAGUCAUCUGGAUUGUUUUAGUCAACUAAAUCUCAAAAAUUUUAGUCUACUCAAAUUUGACUAAAAUUGUUUUUCUACAAAAUUAACACUGCCCUCCAAUGGCCGCCACUCAGAUUGCUACUGCCAUCUCUCUCCCAAUACCAUAAGGUAGCAAGAAUCUCCUAAUGUCCCAGUCACCAUAAAUAAGUGUCUUUAUUAAAAAUAAAUGUUUAAAUUGUUAUCCAAUUUACUAUAAACACCUUGAAAACGCAGAAGGAAAGCACAGAUGCCUAGCAGAGCCAUAGACAAUGUGUUGCAUGCAAAUAAAGGUAAUCUGCUUUAAGUGGUGAAAGGCUUGACCUGGUUUUAUAUUUCUUAAAGUCCCCUUUCAAACACGUUACAAGGACACCUCUCGUGACGAUCAGUCCGUUAUUCAAAGUUGUGCGUUCGCCAUUGCAGAAUGCUGUGAAUUCUUGACAUAGAGAAACAUUGGAUUCCAUGCUUCUCUUGAAGCAUCACAUUUGCAUAGGAUUCUAUUGCUUCUGGAUUGUCCUGACCUUGUGAUCUCAGAAGAGGAGAAGUGGUAGCUGUGGAGAGACCAGGAUAGUCCUGCAUAUAAGGUAAGUUUCCUAGCCUGCAGUGUAGUCACUUUUUGCUUUAUUAAAAAAAAAACCCUGCUGUGCAUAAUCUCAGGAAUUUUGAGGUGUAGCAACUAUAGUAGAAAGCUGACGGUUGAACUACAACUCUUUGAAACCCUUGCUGGAAUAAGCAGAAAUACCGAAAGUUGUAUCAAUAUGGUUGGCCAAGGCACUUUCUGCUUUUAGGACAACUUCCUGUAGGAGCCCUGGGAACUUGCAGCAAAUGCAGGACCUUCAGACGCAAGCAGUCUUUUUUUGUAUAUUAUUGCAUCAAGUAUUCAUUGUGAAAAUCUCAGUUCGGCUUUUAAAAUCAUAAAACAAAUGGUAUGUUUCUUUAUUGAACACUGCUGGCCCCACUCGACCCACC